UGGGGAAUAUUGGACAAUGGGCGAAAGCCUGAUCCAGCCAUGCCGCGUGUGUGAAGAAGGUCUUCGGAUUGUAAAGCACUUUAAGUUGGGAGGAAGGGCAGUAAGCGAAUACCUUGCUGUUUUGACGUUACCGACAGAAUAAGCACCGGCUAACUCUGUGCCAGCAGCCGCGGUAAUACAGAGGGUGCAAGAGUUAAUCGGAAUUACUGGGCGUAAAGCGCGCGUAGGUGGUUCGUUAAGUUGAAUGUGAAAGCCCCGGGCUCAACCUGGGAACUGCAUCCCAAACUGGCGAGCUAGAGUAGGGCAGAGGGUGGUGGAAGUUCCUGUGUAGCGGUGAAAUGCGUAGAUAUACGAAGGAACACCAGUGGCGAAGGCGACCACCUGGGCUCAUACUGACACUGAGGUGCGAAAGCGUGGGGAGCAAACAGG
rnacentral:rRNA from 1 species